ACCUGACAGAUCUUGGUGAAUGUGUUAACCAAUAAGUGGACAAUUUCUGCCCAAUGCUUCUCAAGCAAAUUAUAAUGGACUUGGUCUCUAAGUCUUAAGACAUCAUCUGAUAGAUCUUGACCUCAUUCCUUAGUUAAGUUAGACCUACCAUUGAGCAUGAGUGAAGCCAUCAUUAGAUCUUCACCUGAUAAAUCUUGGGCCCAAUUCCAUCUCUACCCCACAUAUAGAGUAGUUGAUUAUCUUUUGAUGCAACUGAACAAC
rnacentral:lncRNA from 1 species